rnacentral:tRNA from 1 species
GCUAUGGCUCAGUGGUAGAGCAUCUGCUUUGCAUGCAGAAGGUUACAAGUAGAGGUGGGAUCCAACCAGUUCUCACCA